rnacentral:rRNA from 1 species
AGUGAACGCUGGCGGUAGGCCUAACACAUGCAAGUCGAACGGCAGCACAGUAAGAGCUUGCUCUUACGGGUGGCGAGUGGCGGACGGGUGAGGAAUACAUCGGAAUCUACUUUUUCGUGGGGGAUAACGUAGGGAAACUUACGCUAAUACCGCAUACGACCUACGGGUGAAAGCAGGGGAUCUUCGGACCUUGCGCGAUUGAAUGAGCCGAUGUCGGAUUAGCUAGUUGGCGGGGUAAAGGCCCACCAAGGCGACGAUCCGUAGCUGGUCUGAGAGGAUGAUCAGCCGCACUGGAACUGAGACACGGUCCAGACUCCUACGGGAGGCAGCAGUGGGGAAUAUUGGACAAUGGGCGGAAGCCUGAUCCAGCCAUACCGCGUGGGUGAAGAAGGCCUUCGGGUUGUAAAGCCCUUUUGUUGGGAAAGAAAAGCAGCAGGUUAAUACCCCGCUGUUCUGACGGUACCCAAAGAAUAAGCACCGGCUAACUUCGUG